GGUCACCUGGUCCACAAAAAGGGCAGCAUCCUCACUGAAGGGAACAUAGAGACCUUCCAUGCUGCGCUGGAGAGCUUGCUUGGCGACCAUGACCCCGAGGUCGGGAGAGUUGCCUGCAAGACAGAGAAGAUCGUGAAGAAGGCCUUUUCCCUCCACUCCCGGCACGGGCUGCGGGCUGCCGUUCGGCGCUUGUGGGCGGGCUGUAAGAAGAAGAGACACCCGCCAGAGUACGGUGAUCUCUCCACCUGACCGACUGGAACAACAGCCCCGUGCUCUCCCCUUGAAGAUCAGCAGCUGAAGGGAGGUUCAGGAAAGACCGUGCAGCGCAGGGGCCUCCCAGAAGACCUCCUCCAACUGCGUGGACACAAGAUCUGUCCACAAGAAGACAUCCAGCAGGGAAGUGCAGUUCUGUCUGAGGAGUGAGGGGGAAGCAGGCUCCACUCCCCUGGCCCAAGGAAGCCCCGCCUCUGGGGUGCAGAAGCCCCUCCCCUUGCUUCUGCUGGCAGGCAGUGGGAGGAGGCUACAGGACCACCCUGCCCCCAAGUGGCCCUUUGGAACCAUUCUUGGGCUUCCCUUGGGUCCGGGGAGGCUGUGUGGCCCCAGCAGGAGGGCAAGGUCCCUCCAUUCCCACCAGCUGGCCAGGGAGCACCCCCUCCUCCUUCCACCUUUCUCCCCUUCCCCAGCGUCCUGGCUUCCCCUGGCAGGGGAAGCACCAUCCAGGCAUCCGCCCCCUCCCCUGCCGAGGGUGUGCUCCUCCCCCCCUCCACUCCCGCAGCCACGCCUCACUCCCCCCUCCGCUCCCUCCUCCUUCCUCCCAAACCGGUGCAGCAGCAGAGGAGCCUGGGAGACUCUGGGGCCCCCCUGCAGCCCCAGUAGCGCCCCCUGGUGCUGCCCGGUGGCAGGCCAGAGAAUCCUCCUCUCCCUCCUGCUCCAUGCUGUGGCUGCACAGUGGGGAGCCCGAAUUCUCUGGCUUGCCCCCCCAUCAACCCCCACCCCACUGCCCGAUCCCCGCUUGCUGGGCUGCCGGAGUGGAAAGGGAGGAGGAACAGGGCAACCCCACUGACACUGCUUUGUGCUUCUUGCAGGCAUGUGCUGCUGCUGGGAGGCUGGAGGAGUCGAUCCGCCCCAGAAGAGGAGACCACGUGAACAUGCCUGCAAGGAGCGGGGGGGUGGGUGGGGGCUGGCUGGGACUCCCCCCAAUUUUGUUUGCCCUGCCAUUCCCUUGUUCCGUGUGACCCUGGGCUUCCUCCCUUCCCUCCCUCCUUCACCCUCCUUCCCAGGGACAGAAUGGGCUUUGCUGGUCGCCCUGUUGGGGGCCGAGUAGGAAUUUUUGGCUUUCCAACAGAUUGGCCAAGAUGGAAAGUUUUUUUGCCUACUCCAUUCUGUCCUGUUUUGUUUCCUUUAGUUAGAAAGUUAAGUGACGACUUGUAACCUAUUUAAGUAUAUUAAUAAAGUUGCCCCUUUUGUUCAAAACA